rnacentral:rRNA from 1 species
UACGUAGGUGGCAAGCGAUGUCCGGAUUUACUGGGCGUAAAGGGAGCGUAGGCGGAUUUUUAAGUGGGAUGUGAAAUACCCGGGCUCAACCUGGGUGCUGCAUUCCAAACUGGAAGUCUAGAGUGCAGGAGGGGAAAGUGGAAUUCAUAGUGUAGCGGUGAAAUGCGUAGAGAUUAUGAAGAACACCAGUGGCGAAGGCGACUUUCUGGACUGUAACUGACGCUGAGGCUCGAAAGCGUGGGGAGCAAACAGG